rnacentral:rRNA from 1 species
GACGAACGCUGGCGGCGUGCCUAAUACAUGCAAGUCGAGCGAAGCGGCGGAUGGGUGAGAAACGCGUGAGUAACCUGCACUUAAGUCAGGGAUACUAUUUGGAAACAGAUGCUAAUACCGGAUACGAAAGGAUGGACCUGCGAUGCAUUAGCUAGUUGGUAAGGUAACGGCUGACCAAGGCGAUGAUGCAUAGACGAGUUGAGAGAGUGAUCGGCCACAUUGGGACUGAGACACGGCCCAAACUCCUACGGGAGGCAGCAGUAGGGAAUCUUCCACAAUGGACGAAAGUCUGAUGGAGCAACGCCGCGUGAGUGAAGAAGGUUUUCGGAUCGUAAAGCUCUGUUGUUGGUGAAGCGGUAAUCAACCAGAAAGUCACGGCUAACUACGUGCCAGCAGCCGCGGUAAUAC